rnacentral:rRNA from 1 species
CGGGGUACACGAGCGGCGAACGGGUGAGUAACACGUGAGCAACCUGCCCCUGACUCUGGGAUAAGCGGUGGAAACGCCGUCUAAUACCGGAUACGACCCGCCACCUCAUGGUGGAGGGUGGAAAGUUUUUCGGUCAGGGAUGGGCUCGCGGCCUAUCAGCUUGUUGGUGGGGUAACGGCCUACCAAGGCGAUUACGGGUAGCCGGCCUGAGAGGGCGACCGGCCACACUGGGACUGAGACACGGCCCAGACUCCUGCGGGAGGCAGCAGUGGGGAAUAUUGCGCAAUGGGCGAAAGCCUGACGCAGCGACGCCGCGUGGGGGAUGACGGCCUUCGGGUUGUAAACCUCUUUUACCACCAACGCAGGCUUCCAGUUCUCUGGAGGUUGACGGUAGGUGGGGAAUAAGGACCGGCUAACUACGUGCCAGCAGCCGCGGUAAUACGUAGGGUCCGAGCGUUGUCCGGAAUUAUUGGGCGUAAAGAGCUCGUAGGCGGCGUGUCGCGUCUGCUGUGAAAGACCGGGGCUUAACUCCGGUUCUGCAGUGGAUACGGGCAUGCUAGAGGUAGGUAGGGGAGACUGGAAUUCCUGGUGUAGCGGUGAAAUGCGCAGAUAUCAGGAGGAACACCGGUGGCGAAGGCGGGUCUCUGGGCCUUACCUGACGCUGAGGAGCGAAAGCAUGGGGAGCGAACAGGAUUAGAUACCCUGGUAGUCCAUGCCGUAAACGUUGGGCGCUAGGUG